UCGAGAAUCUUCGGCAAUGGGCGCAAGCCUGACCGAGCGACGCCGCGUGCGGGAUGAAGGCCUUCGGGUUGUAAACCGCUGUCAGAGGGGAGGAAAUGCCUGGUAACCCCAGGUUUGACCUAUCCUCAGAGGAAGUCCGGGCUAUGUUCGUGCCAGCAGCCGCGGUAAGACGAACCGGACGAACGUUAUUCGGAAUUAUUGGGCUUAAAGGGUGCGUAGGCGGUGUGGCAAGUUGGAUGUGAAAUCCCUCGGCUCAACCGAGGAACUGCGUGCAAAACUGCCAUGCUAGAGGGAGACAGAGGUGAGCGGAACUUGCGGUGGAGCGGUGAAAUGCUUUGAUAUAGCAAGGAACACCCGUGGCGAAGGCGGCUCACUGGGUCUUUUCUGACGCUGAGGCACGAAAGCUAGGGGAGCGAACGGGAUUAGAUACCCCCGUAGUCC
rnacentral:rRNA from 1 species